rnacentral:rRNA from 1 species
UGGGGAAUAUUGCACAAUGGGCGCAAGCUGNAUGCAGCCAUGCCGCGUGUAUGAAGAAGGCCUUCGGGUUGUAAAGUACUUUCAGCGAGGAGGAAGGCGUUAAGGUUAAUAACCUUGGCGAUUGACGUUACUCGCAGAAGAAGCACCGGCUAACUCCGUG